UACGAAGGGGGCUAGCGUUGCUCGGAAUCACUGGGCGUAAAGGGUGCGUAGGCGGGCCUUUAAGGCAGGGGUGAAAUCCUGGAGCUCAACUCCAGAACUGCCUUUGAUACUGAAGAUCUUGAGUUCGGGAGAGGUGAGUGGAACUGGGAGUGUAGAGGUGAAAUUCGUAGAUAUUCGCAAGAACACCAGUGGCGAAGGCGGCUCACUGGCCCGAUACUGACGCUGAGGCACGAAAGCGUGGGGAGCAAACAGG
rnacentral:rRNA from 1 species